rnacentral:misc_RNA from 1 species
GGGAUCCGGCAUUUCUCUGUUCAUAGCCACCAAUAUCUGUGAAAAUAUAAUUUGGAAGGCGUUUAGCCCCACAACCAUCAAUACCGGCCGUGGUGCUGAAUUCGAAGGUGCUGUUAUUGCGUUAUUCCAUCUUUUGAUAACCCGAACAGACAAGGUUCGAGCUCUCCGGGAAGCUUUCUAUCGCCAAAAUCUUCCAAAUGUUACCAACUUGCUUGCGACUGUCCUCGUCUUUCUUAUUGUCAUCUACUUCCAAGGAUUCCGUGUUGUGCUGCCAGUGAGGUCGAAAAAUGCCCGUGGACAGCAGGGGUCCUACCCCAUCAAGUUGUUUUACACCUCUAAUAUGCCAAUCAUUUUACAGUCCGCACUAGUUUCAAAUCUGUACUUCAUCUCUCAGUUGAUGUACCGAAAGUUCCCCGGAAAUUUCUUUGUUAAUCUGCUGGGCAAGUGGAAGGAAUCAGAGUAUUCUCACCAGUCCAUGCCUGUAGGUGGUAUUGCAUACUACAUAACAGCACCAUCAAGUUUGGCGGAUAUGGCAGCAAAUCCAUUCCACGCUCUAUUUUACAUUGCUUUCAUGCUUGGUGCUUGUGCUCUGUUUUCAAAAACUUGGAUUGAAGUCUCCGGAUCAUCUGCAAAAGACGUGGCCAAGCAACUCAAGGAGCAGCAGAUGGUGAUGCCUGGGCACCGAGAGUCGAACCUGCAGAAGGAAUUGAACAGGUACAUCCCAACUGCAGCUGCGUUUGGUGGAAUGUGUAUCGGUGCACUGACAGUCCUGGCA